rnacentral:RNase_P_RNA from 1 species
CAGGCAGGUCUGGUGAUAGCCGGUAAGACUUUAUGGUCUUACGGGAGGAAAGUCCGGGCUUCGCAGGGCAGGAUGCCGGCUAACGGCCGGCCGGGGUAACCCGCGGGAAAGCGCAACAGAAAAUAUACAGCCGAUGGAGGGCAACCUCACAGGUAAUGGCGAAAUGGCGGUGUAAGAGACCACCGGGUUUAUGGUAACAUGAACCGCAUUGCAAGCCCCAUCCGAAGCAAGAUCAAACAGAAAGCUACAGAUUAGCCCGAUCUGCUUUCAGGUAGAUCGCUCGAGGCUGCCGGCAACGGUAGUCCUAGAUAGAUUAUCACCUAAUACAUAACCCGGCUUAUAAGCCUGCCUGUAAA